rnacentral:lncRNA from 1 species
UGUACAUGUACUAAUACAAACACACUUGAAGCCUUGUACACAGGUGAGCGCUUUAGGGUCAAUGAUCCUCUUGUUUAAGAUUUACUCCCUUUGUUGUUACUAUAAAUAACAUAUUGUAACUCAGGGCUUUCGUUCGGCAAAAUAUGGGGCCGAAUAUAGGCCCCAUUCCCCCCUCAAAAUAGUAUGUUUUUCCCCCUAUUUUCAAAAAAAUUCCCCCUCGAGUCCAAGAACAUCAGUGCUAAGUGCUUUGCAGUUUACUUUUUGGCCUUAAAAUUUUACUGUUUCGAAAAAUUCAGUGGCUCAGAGAAAAAAUACCAAGUGUGAUGACUGAAUAAUGUUGUUUAUUACUGGCAGAAUUCAUACAGAAGAGUUUAUAAUUAAUAGAAUUCAGGUUUGGGUCAGCAAAAUUGAAAAGAAUGUUUAUAUUUGUUUACAUUUCUUUUCGCAUUUGAAAUUCCCCCUUUAAAGGACUUUUUGAAAAAUCAUGCGAAAUUCCCCCCUUGCAUGGACCCUAGCCCCAGUCCCAAAAUGCAAACGAGAGCUCUGUAACUUUUUGCAAUCUUUUUUUUAAUUUUGUAUAAAUGCUUGCCACAAUGAGACAGUGACUUAUGCAACUCCAAGUCCUUUUGACAGUAAGCGGGCUCGACAUGUUGCCCUUGGGCAUCUAGUUUGAGAUAUGCCUUGGCCAUAUAUUAGAACUACCUCAUUACCUUUUGUACUCAACUCCUACAGUACCAAUUAAAUUAAAAUGAAAUAUACCGGUAUACAUUGUCAUCAUGAAGUGAUCAUGUGCAUAAUUUUGGGAGUUUUUAUGUUCCAUUAUUGUUUCUAGAGUUGUAGCCCUUUUUUGGACCUUUACAUAAUUUACUUACUCAACUUCUCCAGUUUCCAUCUAUUUAAAAUGAAAGUACAUUGUUAACAUGAAUAGACAUGUGCAUAUUUUUGUGACUUUCUUAUCUGACUAUUUUUUUGCCCUUUUAUCACGGUGAGGAUGCGUACACCGGAUAUUGCCAUUUAGUGAUAAGGUAUUUUUCGAAAACGUGUUUAUUUUUCGUCAACAAGAUUCAACUUGUGUAUGUGUGUUUAUGACUGGGUCGACGAACGAAUUUAAGGACAUUGUAUGUCAUUUUGUUGAACACCACCCAAAUGACGAGAAUAUAUUCGUAUGCUAACGACCAAAACCGCAAAAAAGUAAAUUACAAGAUAGCACCGGAUAUAUGCAGAGAAAAAAAAAGCAAAAAAAAAUACUGUUGAUUCAGAAAAUAUUAACAUACAUGCUUUAAAAAGGAACCCGAUUACAAAAGGGACCAAUUUGCAACAGAAAGAAACCUUUGAUUUGGGCAAAUAGUGAGGAGACUGUUAACUGACUGUAGUGGAAAUGUAUGCUACCUACCACGCCAUCUAGCUCAAUAUUUACACAAUGCUACCAGCACAAAAUAUAAUCUAGAGACACAUACACGGCGGUGUACAUGGAACUUUCAAUGUUACACAGAGUGCAAUUCCAUGGACAGACAAGGUUUUCGGACAGUAUUGUUACACAGUAUAUGAAAGAAUGUGACAAAAUAGAUGAAUGAAUAAAUAGCCUUUAAUCAGUUUCUUUGCCAAGAAACGUUUUCUUUAACUGAUUUUAUAGUUUCCUAUAUUUUUUGACGUCGCAAAAUGUUUUCAUCGACAACUUGGUUAAUAUGAGGUUUAGUGAAGACAGCAAGUUGUUUUGAAGAGCAGGCUUAAAACUCUUCCAAUGAAAUUACAAUUAUACAACUGCUUGCAUAACAGAGACCGCAUUUCUGCCACUAAAUUAAGAGGAAAGAGAAAAGCAAACAGACAAAUACUUAUUGACAUUAAAAGAAGUAGCUAGUAACUGCAUAAAUGUGAUGAGUGUACAUUACUUCCACAUAAGACUUGGCAUUGAUACUGAAAUAGGUUCUGUUGUGACAUUUAUUUUACCGAACAUUAUUUGACAAGCAAUAUUGUAAAAGCCAUGUUUUACUUUGAUAAAGAACAAAUAGUCAUGUACAUUGAAAUAUUUAUUAAACAAACUUGAAACCUA